UACGGAGGAUGCGAGCGUUAUCCGGAUUUAUUGGGUUUAAAGGGUGCGCAGGCGGAUUUUUAAGUCAGCGGUCAAAUCGUGGGGCUCAACCCCAUCCAGCCGUUGAAACUGGGGAUCUAGAGUGUGCGAGAGGUAUGCGGAAUGCGUGGUGUAGCGGUGAAAUGCAUAGAUAUCACGCAGAACCCCGAUUGCGAAGGCAGCAUACCGGUGCACAACUGACGCUGAGGCACGAAAGCGUGGGUAUCGAACAGG
rnacentral:rRNA from 1 species